rnacentral:rRNA from 1 species
AGAGUUUGAUCCUGGCUCAGGACGAACGCUGGCGGCGUGCCUAAUACAUGCAAGUCGAACGAACUCUGGUAAUGAUUGGUGCUUGCAUCAUGAAUUACAUUUGAGUGAGUGGCGAACUGGUGAGUAACACGUGGGAAACCUGCCCAGAAGCGGGGGAUAACACCUGGAAACAGAUGCUAAUACCGCAUAACAACUUGGACCGCAUGGUCCGAGUUUGAAAGAUGGCUUCGGCUAUCACUUUUGGAUGGUCCCGCGGCGUAUUAGCUAGAUGGUGAGGUAACGGCUCACCAUGGCAAUGAUACGUAGCCGACCUGAGAGGGUAAUCGGCCACAUUGGGACUGAGACACGGCCCAAACUCCUACGGGAGGCAGCAGUAGGGAAUCUUCCACAAUGGACGAAAGUCUGAUGGAGCAACGCCGCGUGAGUGAAGAAGGGUUUCGGCUCGUAAAACUCUGUUGUUAAAGAAGAACAUAUCUGAGAGUAACUGUUCAGGUAUUGACGGUAUUUAACCAGAAAGCCACGGCUAACUACGUGCCAGCAGCCGCGGUAAUACGUAGGUGGCAAGCGUUGUCCGGAUUUAUUGGGCGUAAAGCGAGCGCAGGCGGUUUUUUAAGUCUGAUGUGAAAGCCUUCGGCUCAACCGAAGAAGUGCAUCGGAAACUGGGAAACUUGAGUGCAGAAGAGGACAGUGGAACUCCAUGUGUAGCGGUGAAAUGCGUAGAUAUAUGGAAGAACACCAGUGGCGAAGGCGGCUGUCUGGUCUGUAACUGACGCUGAGGCUCGAAAGUAUGGGUAGCAAACAGGAUUAGAUACCCUGGUAGUCCAUGCCGUAAACGAUGAUUA